rnacentral:rRNA from 1 species
UACGGAGGGGGCUAGCGUUGUUCGGAAUUACUGGGCGUAAAGCGCACGUAGGCGGCUUUGUAAGUUAGAGGUGAAAGCCCAGGGCUUAACCCUGGAAUUGCCUUUAAGACUGCAUCGCUAGAAUCGUGGAGAGGUGAGUGGAAUUCCGAGUGUAGAGGUGAAAAUUCGUAGAUAUUCGGAAGAAACACCAGUGGCGAAGGCGACUUCACUGGGACACGUAUUGACGCUGAGGUGCGAAAGCGUGGGGAGCAAACAGG